rnacentral:rRNA from 1 species
AAAACUUUCAACAACGGAUCUCUUGGCUCUGGCAUCGAUGAAGAACGCAGCGAAAUGCGAUAAGUAAUGUGAAUUGCAGAAUUCAGUGAAUCAUCGAAUCUUUGAACGCACAUUGCGCCCGCCAGUAUUCUGGCGGGCAUGCCUGUCCGAGCGUCAUU